AUCGCUUCUCGGCCUUAAUGGCUAAGAUCAAAGUGUAGUAUCUGUUCUUAUCAGCUUAAGGUGGAUCCCCAGUUUUUUUGUUUAGAAAUUUCUCCGCCCAGGGGGCGCCACCGUCGAUGUCCGUUUUCGUCAAAUUUCUGCAGUCAAAGCUGAAUUUUGAAAAAUCUGAGCCUUU
rnacentral:snRNA from 1 species